rnacentral:tRNA from 1 species
CACCCGAUGACUGAUAAAAGUGUAGGUCUUUUAAACCUAUCAUGGUACCUAAAUACCUCAGGUGGCC